rnacentral:rRNA from 1 species
AUGAACGCUAGCGACAGGCUUAACACAUGCAAGUCGAGGGGCAGCACAGGUAGCAAUACCGGGUGGCGACCGGCGCACGGGUGAGUAACGCGUAUGCAACUUACCUAUCAGAGGGGGAUAACCCGGCGAAAGUCGGACUAAUACCGCAUGAAGCAGGGGCCCCGCAUGGGGAUAUUUGCUAAAGAUUCAUCGCUGAUAGAUAGGCAUGCGUUCCAUUAGGCAGUUGGCGGGGUAACGGCCCACCAAACCGACGAUGGAUAGGGGUUCUGAGAGGAAGGUCCCCCACAUUGGUACUGAGACACGGACCAAACUCCUACGGGAGGCAGCAGUGAGGAAUAUUGGUCAAUGGGCGUAAGCCUGAACCAGCCAAGUCGCGUGAGGGAUGAAGGUUCUAUGGAUCGUAAACCUCUUUUAUAAGGGAAUAAAGUGCGGGACGUGUCCCGUUUUGUAUGUACCUUAUGAAUAAGGAUCGGCUAACUCCGUGCCAGCAGCCGCGGUAAUACGGAGGAUCCGAGCGUUAUCCGGAUUUAUUGGGUUUAAAGGGUGCGUAGGCGGCCUUUUAAGUCAGCGGUGAAAGUCUGUGGCUCAACCAUAGAAUUGCCGUUGAAACUGGGAGGCUUGAGUAUGUUUGAGGCAGGCGGAAUGCGUGGUGUAGCGGUGAAAUGCUUAGAUAUCACGCAGAACCCCGAUUGCGAAGGCAGCCUGCCAAGCCAUGACUGACGCUGAUGCACGAAAGCGUGGGGAUCAAACAGGAUUAGAUACCCUGGUAGUCCACGCAGUAAACGAUGAUCACUAGCUGUUUGCGAUACACAGUAAGCGGCACAGCGAAAGCGUUAAGUGAUCCACCUGGGGAGUACGCCGGCAACGGUGAAACUCAAAGGAAUUGACGGGGGCCCGCACAAGCGGAGGAACAUGUGGUUUAAUUCGAUGAUACGCGAGGAACCUUACCCGGGUUUGAACGCAUUCGGACCGAGGUGGAAACACCUUUUCUAGCAAUAGCCGUUUGCGAGGUGCUGCAUGGUUGUCGUCAGCUCGUGCCGUGAGGUGUCGGCUUAAGUGCCAUAACGAGCGCAACCCUUGCCACUAGUUACUAACAGGUGAUGCUGAGGACUCUGGUGGGACUGCCAGCGUAAGCUGCGAGGAAGGCGGGGAUGACGUCAAAUCAGCACGGCCCUUACAUCCGGGGCGACACACGUGUUACAAUGGCGUGGACAAAGGGAAGCCACCUGGCGACAGGGAGCGAAUCCCCAAACCACGUCUCAGUUCGGAUCGGAGUCUGCAACCCGACUCCGUGAAGCUGGAUUCGCUAGUAAUCGCGCAUCAGCCAUGGCGCGGUGAAUACGUUCCCGGGCCUUGUACACACCGCCCGUCAAGCCAUGGGAGCCGGGGGUACCUGAAGUCCGUAACCGCGAGGAUCGGCCUAGGGUAAAACUGGUGACUGGGGCU